AAAAUUUUCAUUUAAAUAACAUUGGAGGGAUUCGCCCAAAUAUAAAAAUAAAAUGCAAUCUAACAAUUUUCCGAAAAUUAACCAAAAUAAAGCAAAUGUUUAAUACAAUAUUAUUAUUAUUAAUUGCUAAUUUUUACUUUCCAUUUCGGAAUUGAAAAAUUGUAAAAUAUUGCUAAUUAUUUCAAAUUUCAAAACCAAAUACGUAAUUGUAAUAAGGUAAAACCUUUUAUUUAAAUUGGUGUUUGUUUUAAAUAAUUCCAAAAUUAUAGGCGCACGUAUAAAAAUUAAUUAAUAAUAAUAUGUAAAUUGUGAAAACGUCCAAAAAAGUUAUCGCGGGGGAUAAUAGCGUUAAAACCAAUGAAAACGGGCCAAAAAAAAACCCAAAUAAGCGACGUUAAAAACAAAUAGCCAAAUAUGAAAAUAGCAAAACAAAUUAUUCGUGUAGUAACGUUGGUGGUAUAAUUUUCCUCCCACGUCGCCCUGGCGGUUAUAAUUUUAACCCUGCGCAUUUCCCGAAUUCUGGAAACAAAAACCGCAUAAUUCCAACGAAAUCCUAUGGCGGAGGUCGAUAUCUGGUCGGAGGCUAUGGGUAUUGUAACCAAUAUUUUGGCGUAAACUAUUUUUAAAAACGGGUUAGGAUAAUAAUAUUAUUACGUACGGAUAAAAUAACCUGCUGCAACAGGAAACAAAAAUUUCGCCGAUUAAAUUUUUUUGUCCCCUAUUUUAUAUUAUAUGCACGCGUUAAUAAUAAUUUAUUAUAUAACCGUAACGCGCGCAUAUAUAUCCUAAAAAUUAAAACAUUUUCUGCUAUCGCAACUGGUUGCAAAUUAACAAAAACCAACAUUAUAUAGUUUUCCCAAAUAUAUUUUCUAAUUAUGCGGAAAAAUUUUAUAUAAAUAUAUUGGCCCGUACAAAAUAUGGGACGAAAUGUACAAUUUACUGGACAACCGUUUUAAUAUUAAUGCGAAUAAUAAUAAACAGGCGUUAUAAUUUUUUUUUAAAUAGUAACCCGAAUGCGGUGGCGAUAGCGAUUAUAUAAUUAUCGGGUUAAUUAAUUUUGCAUACCGGGAGCGAUUCAUAGUAAUAAAUAUGGUACCAUUACCCUAAAAUAUUCCAAAUAAAGCGUUUUAGCGAAUAUUAUAAAUUUUUAACAAAUGGGCUGUUUUUAACGUAUAAUGGUUAAAUUUUAAUUGAAAUUUCAAAUGGGAUGCGAAAAUGGAACCGUCCAUAAUAUAUAAAUUAAAUUAUGGAAUUUCGAUAGUUAAUUUGAUCUGGAAAAUGGCGCGUAAUAAAUAUUAUUAAAAAGAUUUUAAAUCGGCUAAUCCGGCGCCGAUUAAAUUAAAAUUUAAAAUUUUCCUUUUUACCACAGCAAAACAAUAGUUCGGAUUUAAAUUUGGCAAUUAAAAAAAUUGAAGAUUAAUAAAUUUGGGGUAAAAUAAAUUUUUAUUAGCGAAAAUAUAAAUGCCGAAAUUCCCGCUAAUUUUAAAUUUAUUAAAAUUUAAAAGUAAUACCGUUUGAAAUUACUAACCGGAAAUAGGCCGGGAUCGUUAUUGUCGGCAAUUAGCGGUAAAAUCCGUACACCCUAGGAAGCCUUUUUUCCGGUCGGUAUAGGUAACGUACAGGUCGUUAGCGAUGGUUUGUUUUAUAUACGCGGGUAACGGUAAGAUUUGUUUGGGUUUAUUUAUUUUUUCGCCAUCGACCCUGCGACGUUUCGGGUCUCCUUUAAUGGGGUUAAUUUCCCUGGUAAAAUCCCACCCAAAAAAUCCCAUUUAAUAUGGAAACGAAAUUAAAAACAAAAAAUUAAUUACAAAUUUGUAAAAAUCGAUAUAAUAUAUGUCGGGUUACCAAAUUGCUCCUCGCACCUUUAAUAUUUGCCACGUAUUUUCCACGUAUUUUCCACGAUUUAGCAAUAUUAUAUUUUUUUUUCCAAAUUUUAUAUAAUAUUUGGUUUAUCCCGAAUGUAAAAUUUU
rnacentral:sRNA from 1 species